rnacentral:rRNA from 1 species
GAUGAACGCUGGCGGCGUGCUUAACACAUGCAAGUCGAACGGAAAGGCCCUGCUUUUGUGGGGUGCUCGAGUGGCGAACGGGUGAGUAACACGUGAGUAACCUGCCCUUGACUUUGGGAUAACUUCAGGAAACUGGGGCUAAUACCGGAUAGGAGCUCCUGCUGCAUGGUGGGGGUUGGAAAGUUUCGGCGGUUGGGGCUAGACUGGCGGCUUAUCAGCUUGUUGGUGGGGUAGUGGAAGACCAAGGCUUUGACGGGUAGCCGGCCUUGGAGGGGGGCCAGGGACAAGAGUACUACGGGAGGGCGCAGUAUGCAACCGGAGGCAAUGGGGGAAAGUAUUGCGCAGUAAGGCCGAGUGUGUUACGAAGGCGCCGCGAGCGGAAUGCUGUGCUUCUGGGUAUGAACAGCUGUCGCCUGAGACGUAGCGUGAGUGACGGUAAUGGGUAAAGAAGCACCGGCUAACUACGUG